GAGAUACAUAGGGUGAGAAACGGAGGCCUUCAGCCAACAGCUGGGAGAAGCUGAGUCCCGUCAACAAUUCAAAAGACUGCAGCCCCAGCCAAGAGUUUGAUGUAACCUCAGGAGAGACCCUGAGCCAGAACCACCUAGAAAAGCUGGGAUACAUGAAGACUGCCAUCCCUUGAGUCACUUGCCCUGUAGCUGCCACUGUUGGAAAAGGGCUUGAUUCUGUGUCCUUGUGCCCACUUUGAAAAGCCCUGGGAAGUCCUUGGAGUCAGAUGAUCAGGCCUCCACCACUCUGCCAAAAAGUCUGUUCAAUCAGGAGUCCCCAACCCCUGAGCCACGGACUGAUAUGGAUCUAUGGUCUCUU
rnacentral:lncRNA from 1 species